CCUACGGGAGGCAGCAGUGGGGAAUAUUGCACCAUGGGGGAAACCCUGAUGCAGCGACGCCGCGUGAGUGAAGAAGUAUUUCGGUAUGUAAAGCUCUAUCAGCAGGGAAGAAGAAAGACGGUACCUGACUCAGAAGCCCCGGCUAACUACGUGCCAGCAGCCGCGGUAAUACGUAGGGGGCAAGCGUUAUCCGGAUUUACUGGGUGUAAAGGGAGCGUAGACGGCUGUGCAAGUCUGAAGUGAAAGCCCAGGGCUCAACCCUGGGACUGCUUUGGAAACUGUGGAGCUAGAGUGCUGGAGAGGUAAGUGGAAUUCCUAGUGUAGCGGUGAAAUGCGUAGAUAUUAGGAGGAACACCAGUGGCGAAGGCGGCUUACUGGACAGUAACUGACGUUGAGGCUCGAAAGCGUGGGGAGCAAACAGGAUUAGAUACCCGUGUAGUC
rnacentral:rRNA from 1 species